AACGCACAUUGCGCCCGUUAGUACUCUAGCGGGCAUGCCUGUUCGAGCGUCAUUUCAACCCUCAAGCUCUGCUUGGUGUUGGGGCACUAUAGUGGAUAUAGGCCCUGAAAAACAGUGGCGGGCUCACUAUAACUCCGAGCGUAGUACAUACCUCGCUUAGGGCGUUUUAGUGGGAUCUGGCCUUAAUCCUUCUUUUUAAAUAGUUGACCUCGAAUCAGGUAGGAAUACCCGCUGAACUUAA
rnacentral:misc_RNA from 1 species